rnacentral:tRNA from 1 species
GAGGGUAUAGCUCAAUGGUAGAGUGCAUGCUUAGCAUGCACAAGGGCCUGAGUUCAAUUCCCAGUACCUCCA